UACGGAAGGCAGCAGUGGGGAAUAUUGGACAAUGGGCGAAAGCCUGAUCCAGCCAUGCCGCAUGAGUGAAGAAGGCCUUCGGGUUGUAAAGCUCUUUUAGUGAGAAAGAUAAUGACGGUACUCACAGAAGAAGUCCUGGCUAACUCCGUGCCAGCAGCCGCGGUAAUACGGAGAGGGCUAGCGUUAUUCGGAAUUAUUGGGCGUAAAGAGCGCGUAGGCUGAUUAGUAAGUUAAAAGUGAAAUCCCAAAGCUUAACUUUGGAAUUGCUUUUUAAAACUGCUAGUCUAGAGAUUUGAAAGAGGAUAGAGGAAUUCCUAGUGUAGAGGUGAAAUUCGUAAAUAUUAGGAGGAACACCAGUGGCGAAGGCGUCUAUCUGGUUCAAAUCUGACGCUGAGGCGCGAAGGGCGUGGGGAGCGAAACAGGGAUUAGAU
rnacentral:rRNA from 1 species